UACGAAGGGGGCUAGCGUUGCUCGGAAUCACUGGGCGUAAAGCGCACGUAGGCGGACUCUUAAGUCAGGGGUGAAAUCCUGGAGCUCAACUCCAGAACUGCCUUUGAUACUGAGGAUCUUGAGUUCGGGAGAGGUGAGUGGAAUUCCGAGUGUAGAGGUGAAAUUCGUAGAUAUUCGGAAGAACACCAGUGGCGAAGGCGACUUACUGGACACAUAUUGACGCUGAGGUGCGAAAGCGUGGGGAGCAAACAGG
rnacentral:rRNA from 1 species